CAGCCGCCGCGGUAAUACGUAGGUGGCAAGCGUUGUCCGGAAUUAUUGGGCGUAAAGCGCGCGCAGGCGGAUAGGUCAGUCUGUCUUAAAAGUUCGGGGCUUAACCCCGUGAUGGGAUGGAAACUGCCAAUCUAGAGUAUCGGAGAGGAAAGUGGAAUUCCUAGUGUAGCGGUGAAAUGCGUAGAUAUUAGGAAGAGCGCCAGUGGCGAAGGCGACUCUCUGGACGAAAACUGACGCUGAGGCGCGAAAGCCAGGGGAGCGAACGGGAUUAGAUACCCCGGUAGUCCCUGUCUCUUAUACA
rnacentral:rRNA from 1 species